rnacentral:rRNA from 1 species
UGAGAGGGGGAUCCCCCACACUGGUACUGAGACACGGACCANACUCCUACGGGAGGCANCAGUGAGGAAUAUUGGACAAUGGUCGAGAGACUGAUCCAGCCAUGCCGCGUGCAGAAAGACGGCCCUACGGGUUGUAAACUGCUUUUUUACGGGAAGAAUAAUACCCACGUGUGGGUAGAUGACGGUACCGUAGGAAUAAGGACCGGCUAACUCCGUGCCAGCAGCCGCGGUAAUACGGAGGGUCCGAGCGUUAUCCGGAAUUAUUGGGUUUAAAGGGUCCGCAGGCGGGCCAGUAAGUCAGGGGUGAAAGUUUGCGGCUUAACCGUAAAAUUGCCUUUGAUACUGCUGGUCUUGAGUUGCGGUGAAGUGGCCGGAAUAUGUGGUGUAGCGGUGAAAUGCAUAGAUAUCACAUAGAACACCGAUUGCGAAGGCAGGUCACUAACCGCCGACUGACGCUGAUGGACGAAAGCGUGGGGAGCGAACGGGAUUAGAUACCCCGGUAGUCCACGCCGUAAACGAUGGACACUAGCUGUCGGACCGCUUUAGGUUCGGUGGCCAAGCGAAAGUGAUAAGUGUCCCACCUGGGGAGUACGUCGGCAACGAUGAAACUCAAAGGAAUUGACGGGGGCCCGCACAAGCGGUGGAGCAUGUGGUUUAAUUCGAUGAUACGCGAGGAACCUUACCAGGGCUUAAAUGUAGUGGGACAGGCUUAGAGAUAGGCUUUUCUUCGGACUCAUUACAAGGUGCUGCAUGGUUGUCGUCAGCUCGUGCCGUGAGGUGUCAGGUUAAGUCCUAUAACGAGCGCAACCCCUACCGUUAGUUGCCAGCGAGUAAUGUCGGGGACUCUAACGGAACUGCCGGUGCAAACCGUGAGGAAGGUGGGGAUGACGUCAAAUCAUCACGGCCCUUACGUCCUGGGCUACACACGUGCUACAAUGGCCGGUACAAUGAGCAGCCACGUCGCAAGGCGGAGCGAAUCUAUAAAACCGGUCACAGUUCGGAUCGGGGUCUGCAACCCGACCCCGUGAAGCUGGAAUCGCUAGUAAUCGGAUAUCAGCCAUGAUCCGGUGAAUACGUUCCCGGGCCUUGUACACACCGCCCGUCAAGCCAUGGAAGCCGGGAGUGCCUGAAGUCCGUCACCGUAAGGAGCGGCCUAGGGCAAGAUCGGUAACUAGGGCUAAGUNGUAACAAGGUAACC